GCCUACGGGGCGCAGCAGUGGGGAAUAUUGCACAAUGGGGGAAACCCUGAUGCAGCGACGCCGCGUGAGUGAAGAAGUAUUUCGGUAUGUAAAGCUCUAUCAGCAGGGAAGAAAAAAGACGGUACCUGACUAAGAAGCCCCGGCUAACUACGUGCCAGCAGCCGCGGUAAUACGUAGGGGGCAAGCGUUAUCCGGAUUUACUGGGUGUAAAGGGAGCGUAGACGGCUGAGCAAGCCUGAAGUGAAAGGCGGGGGCCCAACCCCCGGACUGCUUUGGGAACUGUACGGCUGGAGUGCAGGAGAGGG
rnacentral:rRNA from 1 species